UUGUGUGAGCCUUGAUCGACCAAACAUCCCUGUACAAACACUUCUCUUCUUAAACCCUAAAUUCAUCCAUCUACAUCAAAAAUCAAAGAAAGAAAUCAAGUUUGAAUCAAAUUCAAGUGAAAUUAGUGAUCAUUAUACUUAGGAAGAUCACAAGGUAUGUUUAAAUUGAUAUUUGGAGAUGUUUGAUUCUACAUGAAUUUUCAUAACUUUGAUUUUUGAAUGGAAAUUUGAUGUCUACACGAUUACAAGUCUAAGAAUAAGUCUUAGACAAGAAAUUGAUAAAUUCAUGCCAUAAUCUAUUGAUUUCAAUGUUGAUCAUAUAGGUGUUAUAUGGGUUUUUUCAAGUGUUGUUCAUGGUAUUCUUGUCAUAUGAAUAUAAAGCGAUGAGUGUCUCUAAUGAAACCAAACGGGUCAAAACAACCAAAGUAAUGAAGCUUUGGUGAAAUAAAGCGAGGGAUUUCGCUAAGAUAGAUAAACGGGUCAAAUGGAUAUCUUGAUGCAACCGGAAAGGUUGCAUGAUUAAAGAUGUCGAAAUGAUGCCGGAUUUUAAUUAAUAAAUAUUAUAGUCGUUAGCCGAGAAACGGUUAACGAUGAAUAUAAGUCAUAAACUCUGGUUUGAGUAUGAUUAAAAGAUGGCGAAUUCAAAUUAUAGGAUUCGUGUUAAAUUCAUGUAAGUAAGUAAGGUUGAACGGGUCGAAUAGCAGUAGUUUAGUUUAUAUUAUGUAAUGUAAUGUAUAAUAGUAGUUAGCAUAGCAGAAGUUGUAUAGAUCAGAUGUUAGAGUUUGUUAGGAGGUUAGAUAUCACUUUCAUGGUGACGUAAGCUUAGAUGCUUCAGUGGUUUGUCCGUGCCUAUAAAUAGAACAGUACCCUGUACUGUUCUAUUAGCUCUUCACCAUCUUUCUUCCUGCACGAACAAAUCAUUGUGAGCUGAGGCUGAGGGGGAGUUUGUUACAUACUUGCAAUUGUAAUCGGUGUUUGGAAUAAAUUUAAGCAUUCGGUUCAAUGUUAAACUUGUAUGUUCAAAGCAAUUCUCCUAUUUGAUUGUGUGCAAAGUUUGUAAUCAUUUAUAUUCCGCUGCAUUUCUCAUCCAUUUUCAUCUUAAUUCA
rnacentral:lncRNA from 1 species